UACGUAGGGUGCGAGCGUUAAUAGGAAUUACUGGGCGUAAAGCGUGCGCAGGCGGCUUUGCAAGACAGAUGUGAAAUCCCCGGGCUCAACCUGGGAACUGCAUUUGUGACUGCAAGGCUAGAGUACGGCAGAGGGGGAUGGAAUUCCGCGUGUAGCAGUGAAAUGCGUAGAUAUGCGGAGGAACACCAAUGGCGAAGGCAAUCCCCUGGGCCUGUACUGACGCUCAUGCACGAAAGCGUGGGGAGCAAACAGG
rnacentral:rRNA from 1 species